AGCAGCCGCGGUAAUUCCAGCUCCAAUAGCGUAUAUUAAAGUUGUUGCAGUUAAAAGCUCGUAGUUGAAUUUCGGGAUUGGCGCAUCGGUCGUGCCUCACGGGGUAUGAACUGGUGCAGUCAAUUUCUCACCUUCUGGAGAACCGCGAUGUCCUUAAUUGGAUGCCGCGGGGAACCAGGACCUUUACUUUGAAAAAAUUAGAGUGUUUAAAGCAGGCUAUUUUUGCUUGAAUACAUUAGCAUGGAAUAAUAAAAUAGGACGGCAUGGUUCUAUUUUGUUGGUUUCUAGGACCACCGUAAUGAUUAAUAGGGAUAGUUGGGGGCAUUAGUAUUCAAUUGUCAGAGGUGAAAUUCUUGGAUUUAUUGAAGACUAACUACUGCGAAAGCAUUUGCCAAGGAUGUUUUCAUUAAUCAAGAACGAAAGUUAGGGGAUCGAAGACGAUCAGAUACCGUCGUAGUCUUAACCAUAAACUAUGCCGACUAGGAAUCAGACGAUGUUUAAUUUUUUAAUGUACUUCGUU
rnacentral:misc_RNA from 1 species